AAUGAACGCUGGCGGCGCGCCUAAUACAUGCAAGUCGAGCGAGAAGACGUAGCAAUACGUUUGUAAAGCGGCGAACGGGUGAGGAAUACAUGGGUAACCUACCCUCGAGUGGGGAAUAACUAGCCGAAAGGUUAGCUAAUACCGCGUACGCUUCUUGGACUUCGGUUCAGGGAGGAAAGCGAUGCCGAGGGUAUCGCGCUCUUGGAUGGGCUCAUGUCCUAUCAGCUUGUUGGGAGGUAACGGCUCACCAAGGCUUCGACGGGUAGCUGGUCUGAGAGGACGAUCAGCCACACUGGCACUGCGACACGGGCCAGACUCCUACGGGAGGCAGCAGUAAGGAAUAUUGCGCAAUGGGCGAAAGCCUGACGCAGCGACGCCGCGUGAGGGAUGAAGGUCUUCGGAUUGUAAACCUCUGUCACCGGGACGAAAGCCUUGAAUAAAUAAUUCAAGGCCUGACUUAACCCGGAGAGGAAGCAGUGGCUAACUCUGUGCCAGC
rnacentral:rRNA from 1 species